rnacentral:rRNA from 1 species
UAGUCCCGCNACGAGGUAACCCUGUCGUUAGUUACCAGCGGGUAGUGGCGGGGNACUCUAGCGGAGACNGCNUGCGCAAGCAGUGAGGAAGGUGGGGAUGACGUUCAAGUCAUCCAUGGUCCUUACGCCUAGGGCUGCACACGUGCUUACAAUGGUCGGAAACAAACGAGCCAGCCACCUCGCGAGGGGGAGGCGAGAUCUCUCANACCCGGAUCGCAGUUCGGAUUGGGAGUCUGCAACUCGACUCCAUGAAGCCCGGGAAUCGCUAGUAAUCGGCGGAUCAGCAAUGCCGCGGUGAAUUCGUUCCCGGGCCUUGUACACACCGCCCGUCAAGGCCAUGGGAAGCUGAGAGCACCCGAAGUCCGGACUCGGACUCUGGCGUUCAGCCGGAGGG